AUCCAGUUGACGAAUCCCAAAUAGAACGAAACGCACUUUAUCCUGGAU
rfam:Schistosoma mansoni strain Puerto Rico chromosome 7, complete genome